UACGAAGGGGGCUAGCGUUGCUCGGAAUCACUGGGCGUAAAGCGCACGUAGGCGGACUCUUAAGUCGGUGGUGAAAUCCUGGAGCUCAACUCCAGAACUGCCUUCGAUACUGAGAGUCUCGAGUCCGAGAGAGGUGAGUGGAACUGCGAGUGUAGAGGUGAAAUUCGUAGAUAUUCGCAAGAACACCAGUGGCGAAGGCGGCUCACUGGCUCGGUACUGACGCUGAGGUGCGAAAGCGUGGGAGCAAACAGG
rnacentral:rRNA from 1 species